GCUUGCUCAGGCAGGGAAAAUCUAAAGGUGGCUGGAAAGGAGCAAGGCUGAUGUGAACCUGUGUCAUACCCCAUUAACUGUGUUACCUGUAGCCUUGGUGGGUGGUGAGCACAGGUGCCUCCUCACUGAGAGCACACAUCCAGUUUUGACACCAUAAUUCCAUUGUCACCUCUGUGACAGCAGUUUUGAGAGCUCCUCUGAUCUACAUAAACAUGUUGAAACACAGAGUGAUUCAGGUGCCUACAGCUGUGAUGUUGGAGGAUGUGGUUUCAUUUCAUGGACUUCACCAACUUUGAGACAGCACUGCAAGACAGGGUAAUAAACAGCAGGAUAAAUAUAUAUUUCUCUAAAUGAAUCCAAAGUUUCAAAUUUAUGUGCAUUUGGUUUCGUGUGAAUUAAUGAAAUGUUUUAUUUUUUUCAUCAAAUCCAGCAUUUAUUUGCACACAUUUCUAGGACUCUUGCAAGUGUUAUGAAAUACCUGAUUUCUCCUUUUGAGUGCUUACUGCAGGUACCUGCAGUUGCAUUCUCAGAGUCUUGAACUCUGGCCAACCUCCUCCCACCUCCCUUUUUUUAAUUUUUUUUUUUUUUUUUUAAGGGAAAAAAAAUUCCCACAUGGCAAUUCUGAUCUCAACAGCAAAGUAUUUCAGGGAAUAAAAUCCAACAUCACUUUUCUGGAUUGUUACUCCAUAAUUAGAACUAAUAUGUUACCAGAAAAUAGGGGAACUUUUAAUCAUGUGAGUCUGGUCACACAUUAAAAUUCAGUUUGGGCUGCUAUAAUUUAUGCAUGCUUGCUGCCUGUUUCUUCAGCUUCCUGAGCUGUGAUCACUCCUGUAAAAUGAAUAUAUUUCAGUGGGAUCUGUCAUCCUGCUCUUGGAGAUCUGCAGUAGCAAUGGCCAGUGCAGAGAAUUUCCACCUUCACUUCCUUUGAUCAGACAAGUUCUAACAACCACAAACUGGAAAUAUUUUAGGAAGCUACUUCAAAAUUUCACCUAUUUAGUGUGAUUUUCCCCUUUUCAACAGGGGAUUAAUUUUUGUCGUGUAUAUGUGCAAGCCUUCCAUGACCCUGUCUCCCUUUCCAAGAGUAAUUCUGAAAUAUAAAUUCUAUAUCUGUCAAAAAAUUUCUCCUGGAGUUAUUCACUGACCCAACAUCUUCAUAAAGCUCAUAA